AUGACAACAUCAGCUUGAAACACUGGUUCCUCUACGAUCACCGAAGUUAAGCAACGUCCAGCAUGGUCUGUACCUAGAUGUGCAACCGCUUGGGAAUACGACGUGAUGUAAG